AGGUGCUUCAAAAAUAUAGAUGUUUAAUAUGCUGCUGCUCUUUAAAGAGGCAAAAGGUUUCUUUCUGCCAAUUCUUUUGAAUUUUGUAUUCAAAAUCUCUUUUUCUCCCUCAACCGUCAAUGUUUAAGGAAGUGCCCUUUCAUGUUUUCUAUAAUCCUGUUAAAAGUAAUAGGUAGAUUCUGUAUCUGUGGCUAGACAUGCAGCAUGGUACAAAAUACUCUAAACACUCAAGGUUUGUUUGCAGAUUUGCUCUAAUGAAAAAGGCUCAAGACAUAUAAUGAGACAGGCCCUUCUGAUACAGUUACUCAGUAUCUGCACAAGUUGAUCCCUUGAAUGCAUUACAUGAUUCAUAAGAGAUUGCUUAGUACAUCAGAAAUUAAGGUUGAAUAGUAUUUGCUGAUAUCUUAUUUUUCCACUAAGAAAUCUAACAUUUUCAAGGAUAAAGAGUAGUAAGAGACCCUCACUUACGUUCCUCUGUUCUCUGCAAAGUAAGAUAAUUUCAUAGACAGCUAUAGUUAAAAAAAAAAAGAAAAGAAAAGAAAAAAAAAAAAACAAAUACUGAGUGGAAAGGUUUCUUUUCAUUCAGUUAAAUAUCAUGGGAUUAUGGUACCAUGCCUAAGUUGUAAAAAUAUUUUAAUUCCAAAAGGUGUUCAGUAGGUCACACUUUUACAAUCACAUCUUAGAGUUAAUUACUAUGUCUAGGCUCGCAACAGGUCUGUGGUAAAAAGUGUCUCACUGCAUCUUUGCCUUUGUUGUGUCUAAACUGUCAGGGUGGGAUUUUUAGAGGUACCUAAGCAAUACAUAAACCCAAUUCCCCUUAAAACUCUUCAUGGUGAUGCUGAUGGGCUUUAAAAAUCAUUUGUUCUUUGAUCCAGGUCCUGUUUCAUUUUCACAGGAAUAGAUAGUGAAGGAAAGAAAGGAGACCUUGUCCUCGAAUGUCCUUGCACAACAGUAAGAUAACUAGCUAAUGGGGAUGAAAGAUGCUCAGACCUGCAGUGAAUGGCACAGGAAAAUCCUUUUUCAUGGGCGGUGGGUGUUUACUGCGUAACCUGCACUUUCUUUAGUGCCUGCCCUCGUAAGCAUAUUCAGCCAGAGAAGAUUAAUUUCCUCCAUCACUGUCACAGAUUUCCAAGGCAAUAAUUGGCUAUCAUGACAAAAUUGAGUUUGUGGGGUUGUGGUGUUCAAGAUGGUCACUUUUGUUUCCUUGAGGACUGUAAUUUGGAAAACGAAGAGUGAAAGAAGUUACUGCUAUCCUAAAAUACACACCAGGCUCUUUUGGUAUUUUAAGUCUUCACAGGUUCUCUUCAUGUCUGGAAAAUGCAAAUCUCUGGGCUCCUAAGAGCAACCGAAUAGGGAUAUUUAUUUCAUCUUAAAACAAAGAGCAAAGAAAAAAUAUGAAAAAGUUAUUCAAAGGGUUUUGGAAACAGGUGUUCUAAAUCAACAUUAAUUGGAUUCCAGUUAAUUAUUCGUUAUGCUUUAGGAAUCAUAGGAAAGGAAUAUAGGGGGGAAAAAAGUAAGAAAAAACUUCUUCUCUGACAUGCUAAUUGUUCUAGUAUUAUAUAUGCAAAGCAGCCCCUUAUGUCUUGCUACCCCCCAAUAAGUAAGUAAAUAAAUAAAUAGAUAAAUAAAUAAAUGAAUAAGAUAUUGGCCUCCAUAGGGCUGUUUCAGUAGCUAGGGAAUGAGAAUGAAAUGAAAAAAACAAGAUGUGGUCUCUGAAAGUGAUCAUUAUUUGGGAGGCUGGUUACAUUUUUAGUUUAUUAUUUGCAGUAUCUUCUACCUACAGGUACUAAGAUAGAUAAAGGCAACAGAUAAAAAGCUGUCCUAGGUUGACUUUGAAUACCACAUUUGUAAUAUGAAACUUUCCUACAUGAUUUCCCUGACAUUUUUCCUCAUUGGAGUAUAUGAUCUAUGCAUGUACUUUAGAGCAGGUCAAGAACAUUUCUUCACCACUGGCAGAUGGAGGCUGGGUUGAAGAUGGGACAUCAUUAUGUACUGAAUUUUGGCUUCUGGCUUUCCAAUCUAAUUCCUAUUGGAAUUAGUCCACUUUUCCCCUGGUAUUCAAGCUGGCAGAACAUUUGACAUGAAAAAUUGUGUAUGUAAAGUUUUAGUUUAUCUCUGAGAACUGACUGAUUCCAACUUUUAAAAGAAGUGGAAGAGAGGGUGAACAUGGCUAUAUGGGCUGUAUGCCAGUACUGCUGAGUUAGGUGAUUUCAGUGGGAACUCCCUCUAACAAGAUUGUCAAAAUGGCUAUGAAUAGAAAUGGUCUACAGAAAUGAGUUUUUAAAAUUGGAGUGAAAGUAGGCUUUUUCAUAUGUGUAUUUCAUCUUUAAUCCUGUGCAAAUUUCUUUGCUGAUCCAAUGUAGAUGGUUAGAGUGCAAGCAGACAGCAAAAACAGCAGUGACAAAAACUUGCUGGUCUCCUCCUGCUGUCCAGCCUACAAGAUGUGAUCAACUCCUGGCAUAAGAGAAAGAAAUUUUGAAAGGAAGAGACGAUGGCAUCAACAAUGUGCCCCUGUGUCUGAAAGACAUAAUUACUGGGUGGAGGAACAGGCUGCUCAUCUCCUCCUGGGCAGGAUGAGAAUGGUGCCGAUAAAUAAACAGAGAGGAGGCUUUCUGCUACUGUAGGCUGUGCUGGAGGCUUCACCUUUUCCUGUCAGAUGUGGACUUUGCUACAGCAUUUCAAGGUUUGUUUAUCCCUGUGCUGGAUUGCUUCAGACUGUUCUGCUUGGGCUUGUCAGCUGAAAAGCAGAGAAACAUCACAUGUUAAAUCUUGAUGAAAUUUCUAAGCAACAUAAAGAAGAGUGCGGCCUAUUAUUUAGAUAUGGCAACAUACAGCACUGAAAUAUCUCCAAGGACAAGGUCAUUGUCUCCAGAUCUCCUAAUGGGGAGAUUUCUUGAGGACGGAGUUAUAGGGAAGCCCUAUAUGACAAAGAUCAGGACCGUACUUUUAAGCAAUAAGGGGGUCUUUUUAGUGAAGGCUCUCUGGCCUGAAAAUAGGGAUGGGAUGUGCAUUAGCACCCGAUGGGACCACUCUACAUAAUGUUUCCUCCAGAACAAUGGCAUUUUCUUCCUUCCAUUAUAUUCCUCUGCAACCUACAUACUUUUCAAAAAUAUAUAUUUUUACACUUAUAUAUGCUUAGGCUUCAGUAUGAGACCUGAUACAUGUUGGAUUAUGAUGUAAAUUCUUAUGUAUGUCUUUUCAUGAUGCUUCAAUAAAGCCAUCAAAAUUGAAAAUCAAAGAGAAACAAAAACAAAGGGGUAAGAACAUAUGGAGUGGGAUAAACCAAUUAUCAUCUUCAUUAUGAGUGUUGUUUGCUAAAAACUUCAGCUUUGAUUUAGCUUUAUGCGGUAACUCCAGUGGAAAUUUAUUUUACAGAAAUACAAAAAAAAUUCUGAAACUCUUACUUAGGUUUUGCAAGAAUCACUGACGCUCUGUAGAUUGCAUAGGACUACAGAACAGUGGAUUAGCAUGAAAAGAAGAGGGUUUCUACCUCUGAGAAGGUUUUUCUUCCUGUUCCAAAGUAUAUUCAUCGUGCUGUAUAGCUAAAUAAUAGGUGUGUCCUGUUCUAAGUCACAACACAAUCUUAGGAAUUUUUGCAACUCCUUUUGAGGCAAAGGUGUUUCUUUGUCUGUAAGUGGCAUGGCUACUGUGAUAAAUUGUUAAAUAUAUGCAUUUUUAGUAACAAAUACAUAAAAUAAUUAAAUUUCAAAUAAACAUAUUUGAAAUUUGUUUUGACAUGCAGUAAUUUUUAUUCCACGCUGGAAAGAAUGAGUUUAUAGAUUCAUGUUAUGAUUAAGGGUUAGCAUUAUUUUUGUUGUUUCUACAGUAAAUAAAACUAAACAACAACAAGCUCCACAACUCAGGCCUUACCUUCACAAAACUUUUGACUGUCAGGUUUUCCCUCUUUGUUCCUGCCCUUGUCAGUAUAAUGCAGCCUGGUGACUUUUGUCUCUGCAGCCAGUCUACCUCCCGUGAAGGUGCACACAGGGACACUAAAAAUUGCUAAGACUUUUGUGCUUCUGUUAUUGCCCCCAGACCUGAGAUCAGGUGAGGCUACAGGCAAGUGAGGUAAAGUCAUUAGAAUCUCCUCAAAAUUGGUUGUUAAUGAGCCAUCUGAUGAAGCAGAAGGAAAUGUUUUUGCUGCUUGUACUGACAACAAAUAAAGGGCAAGGGAAAAGAUUUGGAUGUAAAAAUAUCCCCCUUUGCAGGAGCAGCAUGAAUCAGCUGCAGUCUGUUUUGCAGUCACAUGCACAUUCUGAUAUAGGGUUUGGCAGCACAGGCGGGAAUUUUGCAGAAGGAUAUUUGUAUGUUUAUGUUGUAAAAUAAUACUAAACCUGCUUGGUUUGGGCUACAAAUUUCACAUUGUGAACUAGUUAAGUUCUGGGUUUUUGUCAGUAGAGAAUUGUGAGGCUAAAGUAAGCUUGAGUUCCUCAUUAGGUCAUUUCUGCACAUUUCUGGAUCCCACUUUCUUCUCUCCAGUCCCAUUAUUACUCAAGGUUUAUUUUCCUUUGGACUAAUAAUGCCAUCUUGUACACAUAAUCUUUUCCCUUCUCUGCUUCCUCCCCACUCUCCAUUUCUUCACUUCUUCAUUCACAUAUUCCCUUUGCUGUUUUAAUUCGUAUCAUUGUCCUUUCCCAGCGUUUUUUCAUUUGUUCAUCCCCCAUUCAGGUUUCAACUGGGCAAAUAAUAUUCUCCUCUUGGAGAAAUGGAUCUUCACUACGGUGAAGUUCCACUGUGAAUAUUCACAAGCUGGAAAUAAAACAUGGUUAUGUGUCAGUGACUGGUUCUCUAGGAAGACAAUCUUUAAAUUAAGAGGCUUUCAUUAAUGUCCUUUGUAAUGUAAAAUGAUUUGGCUUCAAAUUACUCAGUAUCUGAAUAUGAGUUAGACAAAAUACUUGUCAGGAUUUCAGUGGAUUAUGAAGCCUUACCUUAUAUAUCUUAAUUGUUUGAAUUUUCAUUGGAUUUGUAUGGACUGCCAAGCUUUAUAAUUUGUGUGUAUCUAUUUCAGUAUGAAAUCCUUGACUGCCUUAACUUAUUUUACUGCCCUUCUUGAUGCUAUAUCAAUGUUAAGCAUCAUGACACUAGUUGAGUGCAUUGCAUGAUCCUUAUUUCAACUUCAUUUUAACAUGUUUUUGGAAGCUUUAAAGAGGCAGAUAAUGUUCCAAAUUCCAAUUAGAAGCAAACAACAGAUUAGCAGAGUCUUUUGUCAAAUAGGAAAGCAGAAUUCUUUACCAGCAAGAGAGAGAUAUAACGUACACACUGGAGUGUAGAUGGUUUGAAGAAGUGGCUGCCUGUAAGCAUUAACAGACAACAAACAGUACAGAAACAUCGUUUCUUAUAAACUGUCAGAGCCUAGCCCUUUUACAAACUGUAAUCUUGACCCCAAGUCUUGCAUAGUAAUGAAAUAAUGACUAUACCUAGAUAUUAAAAAAAAUAAUGAAAAAACAAUUUGUAAAUUUUAUAUUGCCUAAUUCCACCUAGCAGCGAAUAGGAAAUAAAACAACAUUUUAAGAUAAGUAUAUUAAAGUCCAUUGCAUUUGAAAAGACAUGGAUUGUCAUUCCUGCUAUCUUAGGCUGCCUCAGCCUCUCUCCUAUGGGUACAUAUUAUGUUUGUUUUCAGAAUUGCUGAAGACAGAAAUACAGUCUGUGAGUUUGAGUGAACUUUCUUCACCUAAUUUCAAAUCUGCUUGAACUUAGUGACUUCAUAUAUUUGAUUUAAGCUUUCUGAGUUUGCAUUCAAUAAGGGAGAAGAAAGUGAAGGGAGAAGAGACAGAAAAUCCAAUGCAGAAAUAAUGUAAGGAAAAAAAAUGAGUUUGAUAUGCAUGCCACAUGUGAAUUACUUGUUUCUCUUUUAGUACCAUCUGUAUUGUGUAGCACAGAAGUUCUCCUUGCCCCUUCCAAAAAAUCAAGUUGGUGUUUUUGUUUUUAAUUUAAUCAUGCAUAAAGAAGAAUGGAGAGGUUAGAAAUAAUUUGUAAUAAAAUGUUCCUUAAAUUUGAGAUGUAAUAAAUGUCCACGUACAGAGAAGACAACUCAAUGAAUACAGAUAUCCUGACAAUAUCUGAGACAUUAAGAACAUUCAGCGAGUGUUUUCAUUUCAUCUGAUGCAGCCUUAGAGGAUAGACAGCUAUUACCAUUUAUUUGUGUCCAGCUUUGCAACAUAUUACUCCAAAAGCAAAUCAUGCUGUGAUGGAAGAUGUGAAAUUGAAUGAUCUAUGUUGCUCUCCUAUUGUCUGCCGGAAACUCUGUCCACCCCUGAUUUUAAUCACGUCCGCUUAGUGGUCAAGCUUAUUCACCUUGCUGGCCAGAUAAUCUGGUUCAGUGUCCACCGUUGCUCUUGCAGACUGGAAGUAAAAUCUUUUAUCUGUUUUCCCAGGCUCAGUGUUUCUUGCUGGGAGUCUUUGGUAGAAGCAGUAAAACUUACUGUAAAUAUCCUAGAAGUUA